UUGUAGGUGUGGUUCCAGGUGGUCGUUUCGCGGCCGAGGAUGUGCGCGCCGAAGUACUCGCCGUCGGCGAGCACGCCGAGGACGGUGUCGUCGCCGUACUCGCCGGUGCCGAUCUUGUUGAUCUUGCCGUGUGCGAUGAGCACGACCUGGUCCGCCGGUUGCCCGGCGGUGGCGAUGACCUGGCCCGGCUCGAGCCCACCCUGCCCGAAGCGGUCGGCCAGGGCGGCCAGCACCGUAUCGUCGUCGAAUCCGCGCAGCAGCGGCAGUUCCCGCAGUUCUUGCGGGAUGACCCGGAUGUCGGCGCCGGUGUUGGUGAAGGUGACCCGUCCGUCGCCGAGGGUGUAGCUCAGCCGCCGGUUGACCCGGUACGCGCCGCCCGAGGCCUGCACCCACGGCAACAUCCGCAGCAGCCACCGCGAUGUGAUGCCCUGCAUCUGCGGGACGGAUUUCGUCGUCGUGGCCAGGUUCCGCGCCGCCGCCGUACUCAGGCUCAACGGCGACGCUUCGG
rnacentral:antisense_RNA from 1 species